rnacentral:lncRNA from 1 species
GAAGUUUGCGGAGUUGUCCAGGUUUGCACCUCAUUUGGUGGAGAAUGAGGAACGAAUGACGCGUAUGUUUCUGAGAGGUCUAAAACCCGAGAUUCGUCAAUACCUUAUCUCUCAUAAAUUUUCUCUGUAUUCAGAUGUUGUCAAUAGGGCUCAGUUAUUAGAGCGAGAUAGUGAGUAUACUCAACCGAGGGACCACAACCAGGG